UUUAGCAAUCCGUGUUCCCCUAAGGGUUUCUAUCCACUGCGGCUGGUUUAGUUGGCGAUUUUGAUACUAGAUGGCUUUAGUUUUUUGUUAGUAUUUUUGUCACACUAGAUGGCUUUAGCGAUUGUUUUCACACUAGGUGGCUAAAGCUAAUGAAGUUUUCACACUAGGUGGCUAAUCAAGCCAAUCAAUCAAGACAAAUACAAAAAUUCUUUUUAUGUUGAAGGAUGCGUGUAUAAAUGCAAAAAAGUUCACUUCGAUUUUGGAAUGAUAGUUUGAAUAGAAUCACUGUGUGCUGUGUAUUUGCUAGUGAUAAUCGACUUCCAUUUUGAAGCGACUGUUAGCAGUUUAGCCCAUGCGCCAUGGUCUAAAUGGUCUAAAUGGUGUCAAAUAAGUCAAGGAGGAAGGAAACCUAUAAAGAUACAACAAGGGAACCUAUCAUAGAUGAUGGAAGGAAGGGAACCUCUACAGAUACAAUGAGGGAACCUAUUAGAUGAUGGAUUACUGAAAUCAUUGCAAAUUCGCACGUAUGGUCGAAAAAUUCCAAUCAUCCAUCCAAAAGUUAUUCCAAUUAGAUUACCCACAGAUGACAGAAUGCAAUUCGCCAAUUAAUUCACUUCUCUAAAGAAAGAAAAGAAAAAAAAUCACAGUGUUAAUGGCUUACUGCUGGAACCGGUUGAACUUCGCACGUAUAGUCGAAAGACACAAUCAACAAGUCACCCACAAUUUAUUCCAAUUAGAUUAUCUACAAUGUGUGGUGUCUGUGUUAAUAAUAUUUCUUCUGUCACAGGUUUACUCGAACCACUUCAACUUCGAACGUAUGGUCGUGAAACACAAUCAACAAUUCACUCAAAAAUUAUUCCAACUAGACUACCGUCAGAAUGUGAUGUGUCAACGAAUUCCAUUGAUUACGAUCCAAGUUUACCCUUUGAACGACAGGGGAAAACCAACGAAGUUAAAAGAAAACUACAUCAUGGUGUUACCGUUUACGUGUCAAUAACAUUGCGUGUUUUUAUGACUCACAAUAACAUGGAUCCUAAAGAUUGAUUUUCCCAAUUCACUAAAAAGAAAUUUGAAAACAAGAAAUCAAUCUUCAAAAAGAAUAUAGAACAAUCGUCUUAAUUCAAUAAACAAGAUAAACCUAUCCCCAUUACUUACUGACUUUCUUCAUUUUAAUCAGAAG